rnacentral:rRNA from 1 species
UGCCAGCAGCCGCGGUAAUACGGAGGGGGUUAGCGUUGCUCGGAAUCACUGGGCGUAAAGCGCACGCAGGCGGCUUUUCAAGUCGGAUGUGAAAGCCCCGGGCUCAACCCGGGAACUGCAUUCGAAACUGGGAGGCUUGAGUUCGAGAGAGGGUGGUGGAAUUCCUGGUGUAGAGGUGAAAUUCGUUGAUAUCAGGAGGAACAUCGGCGGCGAAGGCGGCCACCUGGCUCGAUACUGACGCUCAUGUGCGAAAGCGUGGGGAGCAAACAGGAUUAGAUA